UUCAACCAGCGCUAACCGGAAGUGAGACAACGCGACGAGUGACUAGUUCCGGUUUUUGUGAAAAAGGUCUACUCCACCACGUCUUACAUGACAACAGCGCCAUCUAUUGGCCGGCGGUGGUAUUACAGUUCACCACAGACAUGCUGUUCAAGCAUGCUGUGUGUGUUUUGCGACCGUGCGUAAGUGCAGCCAAUACAAUGUAGACCUAACUUUAUCACUCAAUCAAUAAUUAAGGAGCACGCUCUAGGAUUAUACACAACUUCAAUACAACCGUGCAAUGCAACUUGGUAUUACACAGCAUAAAACAAAUAAAAUAUAUUUUACACAUUUUAAUAACACCAAUUUUCAACCAAAAUGAUUUCUUCCUUUAAACAGAAAAUAAACUUUUUUUUUUAACUUUUCAGUGACACAACUGGUACACAUUUUACUGAAAUGAAUUGACUUUUAUUAAAGUUUUUCACAGUGAAUGUUUACUGUCAUUGAAUCACCAGGCUCUAAAGAAAACCGAAUGCAAGCCAGAAAACGGCGUCGGGAAGAGCAGUAACCACAUGUGAGAGGAGGCCGUUUGGAUCACAGUGCAAAUAUUGCAGGGCGACCAGCUAAUAUUUGAAGGGGGAGAUGACAUGAAGACCAACAGUGGGACAGAGAAGAUUCAGAAAAAAAACUCCUCCCUUAUCCAAGAAAUUGAAGAAGCAGCCUUACUGCAUGACAUCAUAAGGGCAGCCAAAUGCUCCAGAACACCAGCGUUUCCAGGAAGAUGGUCCCUGCCUGAUGUUAUAGAGAUGGAAGACGGGAACUCUGAAAGAACUCCAAAGCUGUGACUUCAUGAGUGAAGGGAAGAGAAUCCUGGAGCUGAGGGAUCCUUUCAUUUUCUCCUUUCAGUUGAAAAGUGACUGAAACAGUUUUAGUGCAGAAAUGAUGGA